rnacentral:rRNA from 1 species
AAAUUACGUGCCAGCAGUCGCGGUAAUACGUAGAAGACAAGUGUUAUNCAUCUUUAUUAGGUUUAAAGAGUACCAAGACGGUUAAUAAAGCCCAAAAUAAAUGAAUACGGGGGACACAUUAACUAGAGUUAUAUGAAAGGAAGCUCUAAGGUACUGUUGAGUGUAGAGAUGAAAUUCGAUUAUACCAGAUGAUUGGCACAGAUUUAUGCGAAGGCAUCUUCUUAUGUAAUAACUGACGUUGUAGGACGAAGGCUUAGGAAAUGAACAGGAUUUGGUACCCCAGUAAUCUAGGCAGAAAAUGAUGAAUGUCAUAGGUUGAAUACAG